GUCUUCUAUCCUUCAUUCCACCGGAGUCUGUAUAGAGUGCCACUCAGAUUUCAGUGGAUUGAAGAGUAAGAAACA
rnacentral:pre_miRNA from 1 species